rnacentral:tRNA from 3 species
AUUAAGGUGGCAGAGUCGGCAAUUGCAUAAAACUUAAGCCUUUAUAAUCAGAGGUUCAAAUCCUCUCCUUAAUA